rfam:Picea glauca, whole genome shotgun sequence.
ACAUGCCUACAACAUAGUCUUAAUGCACCAGAUCCCAUUAGAACUUCGUAGUUAAGCAUGCUCAGACUAGAGUGGUACUGGGAUGGGUGACCACCCGAGAAUUCCUAGUAUUUUACAUGCC